GUUCAGUGAUGAUUUCCCCCAUGCGUGUCAGCUGAUCCCAGUGCUUCCUUGUGCUUCUGCUUGGCGUUCUGCCUGCAGGCUGCCCGUCUGGGUCUGGCACAGGGUUUCUGGGCAUGAUCAGAGCCCUCUGACUGAGAAC
ensembl:snoRNA SNORD10 small nucleolar RNA SNORD10